rnacentral:rRNA from 1 species
AUUGAACGCUGGCGGCAGGCCUAACACAUGCAAGUCGAGCGAGCGGCGGACGGGUGAGUAAUGUAUGGGGACUGCCCGAUAGAGGGGGAUAACUACUGGAAACGGUAGCUAAUACCGCAUACUAUCGGAUAACCCAUAUGGGAUUAGCUAGUAGGUGAGGUAAUGGCUCACCUAGGCGACGAUCCCUAGCUGGUCUGAGAGGAUGAUCAGCCACACGGGGAAUGAGAAACGGCGCAGAGUCCGACGGAGGCAGGAGGGGGGAAUAUUGCACAAUGGGCGCAAGCCUGAUGCAGGCAUGAGGCGUGUAUGAAGAAGGCCCUAGGGUUGUAAAGUACUUUCAGUCGGGAGGCGUUACCUACAGAAGAAGCACCGGCUAACUCCGUGCCAGCAGCCGCGGUAAUAC